UUNUNNCCGACCUGCCCCAUGCUCCGGAAUAGCUCCUGGAAACGGGUGGUAAUGCCGGAUGUUCCACAUGAGCGCAUGCGAUUGUGGGAAAGCUUUUGCGGCGUGGGAUGGGGUCGCGUCCUAUCAGCUUGAUGGCGGGGUAACGGCCCACCAUGGCUUCGACGGGUAGCCGGCCUGAGAGGGCGACCGGCCACAUUGGGACUGAGAUACGGCCCAGACUCCUACGGGAGGCAGCAGUGGGGAAUAUUGCACAAUGGGCGCAAGCCUGAUGCAGCGACGCCGCGUGAGGGAUGGAGGCCUUCGGGUUGUAAACCUCUUUUAGCAGGGAGCAAGCGUUAANUGAUG
rnacentral:rRNA from 1 species